rnacentral:lncRNA from 1 species
UUUUCUCAUCACCUACACAUAACACACACACUUUUGAGGUCUUUAGGGUUGUAUCUUGACUUGGGUUAGGGUAUGGAUUCAAAAAGGGAAACAGGGGGAUUUUUGUUCAGAGUCGAUGUUUCAUCCUGUGUUGGUUUCUUUUAUUUCCUCAGUUUUCUUUUUUUUAUUUCUUUCUCACCGACUGCCCUUUUCGUGCUUCUUUCUAUUGAAUAUUCG